CCAUGUGCGGAUCUCCUGAAGGAGCUGCUUGUUGGAAGGCACGUCUGUGUGUGCAGAUAAUCUAGGUCCCAUCAUUUUGACUCCCUGGCAUUUCCUCGAGCCCUUGGAAGUCUCUUUGUCAUGACGGCCACGGUGAGAAAUGCUCUGAAGGGCUGUGGACCUGUUUCUCCAGCCCAGUGGUGGUUCAAGGACUGCUCCCCCGAUCCCCACAACAUCUUAUUAGCAACACAGACCGACAGCUUCACCAAGGGUCGGGCUGCCCACCUCUGUGAGCUCUGGCAGGGUGAGGGAGGGAGAUGGAGAGAUUGAAUUAAGAUCCAGGUAUGAAACUGCAGCCACCCAGGAAACCUACACCCGCUAAUCUUGAGAGGAGAGUGGUUACACAGGCUCAGAAGUAGUGAGAGCUAACAAAUGCUUCUCUUAUGCACUAGAGUGAGAAACAAAACUGUCUGCUGAGGAAGCGGCCACCCCCAUGCUCAUCCUCCUCCUCCCCCCUCUCGUGCACCCACAGGAGCUGCUCACAACGGGAGCUGCACCCUUGGGCCAUGGCCGGUUUCUGGACAGUGGGACAGAGGAGUGCUUUGGGGGAGUUUUGCACUUGCAUCACUCUACACCUGUGCUGUCCUCAGCAAACCAGUUUGACUUUGCAAAGCCAAGAGGUUUGAGCCUGGAGUACCUGUGCUGCUGACAUUUGCACCAGGACUGUAUGGGCAGAAAUUAACCCAGGCCCCAGAAGAGAAGGUGGGGAGACCCUGCCCAGCAUGCAGAUUGCUUGCAGAUCCUUGCAGUGUGGUGGAAUCAACCAACACCCUGGUACAGGGUGUGUGCCUGUGAUGUGAUGGAGGAGCACACGACCGCUGAUUUCCAGCUGCCUACCUCUGUUCUGAGUUUCAGGCCAAUAACACCAUGAUAUCAUAAUGAUACAUCGCGCUCUGAUGACAGCACCGCAUGCAGCGAGCCUCGGCAAUCUGAUCUCAUUCUGCAAGCACAGAGAUGAGUGUUGCUGCC
rnacentral:lncRNA from 1 species